AUGCACGGAAAGGCACAAGCACAGAUGGGUGCUACGGCCUUCUUCUACCUCUUGCUGUCCCUCUGGGUUCAUGAUGCAACUGGGGCUGCUCUUGGCUUCACAAGAAGUGAUUUCCCACAGGAGUUCGUCUUUGGAGCCGGAACCUCGGCAUAUCAAUAUGAGGGUGCUGUUGCUGAGGAUGGCAGGAGCCCGAGCAGUUGGGACACUUUCACUCACGCAGGCAAAAUGCCAGACAAAAGCACGGCAGAUGUUGCUGCAGAUGGGUACCACAAAUGCAUGGAGGAUGUCAAGCUCAUGUCUGAGACUGGCCUAGAGGCCUAUAGGUUCUCCAUCUCCUGGUCAAGGCUUAUUCCAAAUGGACGCGGAGCUGUCAAUCCCAAAGUGCUAGAGUACUACAAUAACCUCAUUGAUGAGCUAGUGAACCAUGGAAUUCAAGUCCACAUCACACUUCACCAUCUAGAUCUCCCUCAGAUUCUUGAAGACGAGUACGGUGGAUGGUUAAGCCCCAGAAUUAUCGAAGAUUUCACAGCAUAUGCAGAUGUUUGCUUCAGGGAGUUUGGAGACAGGGUUGCAUCUUGGACGACAAUGAAUGAACCAAACAUUGGUAUAAUGGCCUCUUAUGACGUUGGUAUAUUCCCUCCUGGUCGUUGCUCAGAUCCAUUUGGAGCAAUAAAGUGCACCGCUGGGGACUCUAGUGUGGAACCAUACAUAGCAGCUCAUAAUACCCUUAUGGCGCAUGCAUCGGUUGCCAGUCUGUAUAGAGAAAAAUAUCAAGCCAUGCAAAAAGGAGUUGUUGGCAUAAGUAUGUACUCCUACUGGAGUUACCCGCUGACAAAUUCCACUGUGGAUUUAGAUGCAACCCAGAGAUGUAAAGAUUUCUUAUUUGGCUAG
rnacentral:rRNA from 1 species